UAUGCGAUACUUGGUGUGAAUUGCAGAAUCCCGUGAACCAUCGAGUCUUUGAACGCAAGUUGCGCCCCAAGCCGUCAGGCCGAGGGCACGUCUGCCUGGGUGUCACGC
rnacentral:rRNA from 1 species